AUUGAACGCUGGCGGCAGGCUUAACACAUGCAAGUCGAGCGGGGUGAUGGUGCUUGCACUAUCACUUAGCGGCGGACGGGUGAGUAAUGCUUAGGAAUCUGCCUAUUAGUGGGGGACAACAUCUCGAAAGGGAUGCUAAUACCGCAUACGUCCUACGGGAGAAAGCAGGGGAUCACUUGUGACCUUGCGCUAAUAGAUGAGCCUAAGUCGGAUUAGCUAGUUGGUGGGGUAAAGGCCUACCAAGGGGACGAUCUGUAGCGGGUCUGAGAGGAGGAUCCGCCACACUGGGACUGAGAGACGGCCCAGACUCCUACGGGAGGCAGCAGUGGGGAAUAUUGGACAAUGGGGGGAGCCCUGAUCCAGCCAUGCCGCGUGUGUGAAGAAGGCCUUAUGGUUGUAAAGCACUUUAAGCGAGGAGGAGGCUCUUUUGGUUAAUACCCAAGAUGAGUGGACGUUACUCGCAGAAUAAGCACCGGCUAACUCUGUGCCAGCCGCCGCCGUAA
rnacentral:rRNA from 1 species